GACGAACGCUGGCGGCGUGCUUAACACAUGCAAGUCGAACGGUAAGGCCCUUCGGGGUACACGAGUGGCGAACGGGUGAGUAACACGUGGGUGAUCUGCCCUGCACUUCGGGAUAAGCCUGGGAAACUGGGUCUAAUACCGGAUAGGACUCCGGACUGCAUGGUCUGGGGUGGAAAGCUUUUGCGGUGUGGGAUGGGCCCGCGGCCUAUCAGCUUGUUGGUGGGGUGAUGGCCUACCAAGGCGACGACGGGUAGCCGGCCUGAGAGGUUGACCGGCCACACUGGGACUGAGAUACGGCCCAGACUCCUACGGGAGGCAGCAGUGGGGAAUAUUGCACAAUGGGCGCAAGCCUGAUGCAGCGACGCCGCGUGAGGGAUGACGGCCUUCGGGUUGUAAACCUCUUUCAGCAUCGACGAAGCGAAAGUGAUGGUAGGUGCAGAAGAAGGACCGGCCAACUACGUGCCAGCCGCCGCGGUAA
rnacentral:rRNA from 1 species